CCUGAGUCCUAGAGGCAUUGCAGGUGUUGCUUCUCUGUCACAUGUGGGUCAAUAGGUGGCAGAGAACAGACAGGCUAUGUCUCUGGUCAGUGGUUUGACCUAAGAAUAUCUGAAUAAUUAGUAGCUUGACAUU